rnacentral:piRNA from 1 species
UGCCAGACUGCUGCCUCCCAG